ensembl:lncRNA
GUUCUAUCUGAUGGAGGUUCUAUGUGAUGAAGGUUCUAUCUGAUGGAGGUUCUAUCGAUGGAGGUUCUAACGCUGGUGGUUCUAUGUCAUGGAGGUUCUAUCGAUGGAGGUUCUAACGCUGGUGGUUCUAUGUCAUGGAGGUUCUAUCGAUGGAGGUUCUAUGUCAUGGAGGUUCUAUCGAUGGUGGCCGUGCGCUUGGCUUACUACUCGCAAUAAUUAAAUAAUUUCUGUCAUAGGAAUUGAAAGUAUUGUCCAUCUUCAGGACUUAGAAUAGAACAAAACAAGACAACAAUGAUGUUUCUGAGAGCUGUAAACAUCACAGGACCCACCAUUCAUUUCACUUCAUCAAUGUUCUAUUCCUUAAACGUCUUUCAUCGCUCCAAUAAAGACACAGUAAGAACAUCAUUAGCUGGAACAGGAGGAGACAGAGUCUCUGUUGGGGACUCUGGAGGAUCCACGAGUCUCAUGACAAUGUUUAUGUGUGAAGGAACUGAAGCGUGUUGAUCAACAGCCACGGAUGAGACAAAGUGAAUUACAAUAAAAAGUGCAUUGAAGGACCUUUAAAGAGUCUUAAUAUAUAUAUAUAUAUAUAUA